GUGGGGAAUAUUGGGCAAUGGGGGGAACCCUGACCCAGCAACGCCGCGUGAGUGAAGAAGGUCUUCGGAUCGUAAAGCUCUGUCAUUAGGGAAGAAGGAAGUGACGGUACCUAAUGAGGAAGCCCCGGCUAACUACGUGCCAGCAGCCGCGGUAAUACGUAGGGGGCGAGCGUUGUCCGGAAUUACUGGGCGUAAAGGGCGCGUAGGCGGUUAAUUAAGUCAGAUGUGAAACCCCUCGGCUUAACCGGGGACUGGCAUUUGAAACUGGUUAACUUGAGUGCAGGAGAGGAAAGUGGAAUUCCUAGUGUAGCGGUGAAAUGCGUAGAGAUUAGGAGGAACACCAGUGGCGAAGGCGGCUUUCUGGACUGUAACUGACGCUGAGGCGCGAAAGCGUGGGGAGCAAACAGGAUUAGAAACCCUAGUAGUCC
rnacentral:rRNA from 1 species